rnacentral:rRNA from 1 species
CCAAAGGGGCAUACUUAGUACGGCGAGUGAGCGGUAAAAGCUCAAAUUUGAAAUCUGGUACUUUCAGUGCCCGAGUUGUAAUUUGUAGAAUUUGUCUUUGAUUAGGUCCUUGUCUAUGUUCCUUGGAACAGGACGUCAUAGAGGGUGAGAAUCCCGUUUGGCGAGGAUACCUUUUCUCUGUAAGACUUUUUCGAAGAGUCGAGUUGUUUGGGAAUGCAGCUCAAAGUGGGUGGUAAAUUCCAUCUAAAGCUAAAUAUUGGCGAGAGACCGAUAGCGAACAAGUACAGUGAUGGAAAGAUGAAAAGAACUUUGAAAAGAGAGUGAAAAAGUACGUGAAAUUGUUGAAAGGGAAGGGCAUUUGAUCAGACAUGGUGUUUUUUGCAUGCACUCGCCUCUCGUGGGCUUGGGCCUCUCAAAAAUUUCACUGGGCCAACAUCAAUUCUGGCAGCAGGAUAAAUCAUUAAGAAUGUAGCUACUUCGGUAGUGUUAUAGCUUUUUGGAAUACUGUUAGCCGGGAUUGAGGACUGCGCUUCGGCAAGGAUGUUGGCAUAAUGGUUAAAUGCCGCCCGUCUUGAACCACGGACCCA